rnacentral:rRNA from 1 species
GAUGAACGCUGGCGGCGUGCCUAAUACAUGCAAGUCGAGCGAACGGACGAGAAGCUUGCUUCUCUGAUGUUAGCGGCGGACGGGUGAGUAACACGUGGAUAACCUACCUAUAAGACUGGGAUAACUUCGGGAAACCGGAGCUAAUACCGGAUAAUAUUUUGAACCGCAUGGUUCAAAAGUGAAAGACGGUCUUGCUGUCACUUAUAGAUGGAUCCGCGCUGCAUUAGCUAGUUGGUAAGGUAACGGCUUACCAAGGCAACGAUGCAUAGCCGACCUGAGAGGGUGAUCGGCCACACUGGAACUGAAACACGGUACAGACUCCUACGGGAUGCAGCAGUAGGGAAUCUUCCGCAAGGGGCGAAAGCCUGACGGAGCAACGCCGCGUGAGUGAUGAAGGUCUUCGGAUCGUAAAACUCUGUUAUUAGGGAAGAACAUAUGUGUAAGUAACUGUGCACAUCUUGACGGUACCUAAUCAGAAAGCCACGGCUAACUACGUG